rnacentral:rRNA from 1 species
GAUGAACGCUGGCGGCGUGCCUAAUACAUGCAAGUCGAGCGAACAGACGAGGAGCUUGCUCCUCUGACGUUAGCGGUGGACGGGUGAGUAACACGUGGAUAACCUACCUAUAAGACUGGGAUAACUUCGGGAAACCGGAGCUAAUACCGGAUAAUAUAUUGAACCGCAUGGUUCAAUAGUGAAAGACGGUUUUGCUGUCACUUAUAGAUGGAUCCGCGCCGCAUUAGCUAGUUGGUAAGGUAACGGCUUACCAAGGCAACGAUGCGUAGCCGACCUGAGAGGGUGAUCGGCCACACUGGAACUGAGACACGGUCCAGACUCCUACGGGAGGCAGCAGUAGGGAAUCUUCCGCAAAGGGCGAAAGCUUGACGGAGCAACGCCGCGUGAGUGAUGAAGGUCUUCGGAUCGUAAAACUCUGUUAUUAGGGAAGAACAAAUGUGUAAGUAACUAUGCACGUCUUGACGGUACCUAAUCAGAAAGCCACGGCUAACUACGUG